rnacentral:lncRNA from 1 species
CUGACUCACUUACCCAUUAAAGUAUGAUAAGAAAAAUAUGUUACCUUGGUACUCGGUCGAGUAAGGCACCGGGUGCCCGUCGCGGUCCUUCGGUUUGGGUCGUGACAUAGAGGGUUGUCUUCGCCUUGGACAAAGUAUAGUCUUCAGCUUAGACGGUGUAAUGGUCUUAGCCUCGGACAAAGUAAAGUCUUCAUCUUGGAUGGUUGUCUUUGCCUUUCCAAAACAAACUUUUGGUCAGACGGUGUAAUGAUUUUUGCCUCAGAUAAAAAGUAAAUUCUUUGGCUUAGAUGAUGUAAUGGUCUUUGCCAUAUAUAAAGAAAGUCAAGUUUUCAAAUAAAAUGAAGUCUUUAGCUCAGAUAAUGUAACGGUCUUCGCUUUAGACAAAAUAAAUCUUUGGCUCAGACGGUGUAAUGGUUUUUGCCUCAGAUAAAAGUAAAGUCUUUGGCUUAGAUGAUAUAAUGAUCUUUGCCAUAGAUAGAGAAAGUCAAGUUUUCAAAUAAAAUGAAGUCUUUGGUUUAGACGAUGUAAUGGUCUAUCUAUCCCUCUGAUAAAAUGAAGUUAAAUCUUCAAACAAGAUAAAACCGGUUUCUUGACAUGUAAUGAUCUUCAUCUAAGAUAAAGUGUAAUGGUCUUCAUCUCAGACAAAGUAAAUUUUUGGCUCAAAUGGUAUAAUGGUCUUUGCCUCGGAUGAAGUAAAUCUUCAGAUUAGACAACAUGAUAAUUUUCGCAUGGGACAAAGUAACGUCUUUUAAGUUAGACGGUGUAAUAGUAUUCACAUAUAUCAGGCAACGUAUAAUCUUCGACUUAAAUAAUGUAAUGAUCUUUGUCUCGGACAUUGUAAAUUCUUCUGCUUGAGACAUCGCAAAAUUUUGGCCUUGGCCAAAGUAAAACAGUUUUUGCCUCAAACGGGAUGAAGUAAUUCAAAGAAUUUAUAUAAUAAUUGUUGUUUCCUACUUUGAACCUGAAAAGAAAAGGCACCAAAGAGAGAACAAAAGAAAUACAAAAGAUGGGAAGGGAUUAAAUUCCUUCCCAAAUUUCAACGAAAAAUGCAGCAUGUAUAAGUGCAGCAAAUUCCGCCAAAGAAGCUUUCCGCAAACAAUAAUGAAAGGAAAAAUCCAUACAAGACAAAAGAGAAAUCAAGAAAUCUUACAUAAAAACUAAUAAAUAAAUUUUCCUAGUUCAAAGUAGUGAACCUACAAUUGUGAAGAUGAACUCAAGCUUAUGACAUCGUCAAGGGGAAAAAAUGACAGUGAGUAGAACCCGCAGAAAG